GAUGACAAUAAUGACAAUGACCAGAACAAUGGCAACAACGAUAACAACAACAACGACGACAACAACGAGAACAACGACAACAACGGCAACAAUGACAACAACAACCACAAUAACAACAGCAUUACCAACACCGAAGACGACGACGACGAUGACGACAAGAACAACAACAACAAUAACAACAACACCACCACCACCACCACCACCACCAACAACAACAACAACUAAAACAACAACAACAACAAAUACAACAACAACGACAACAACAACAAAAGUGACAACAAUCACAUAAGCAACAUCAACGACAACAACAA
rnacentral:lncRNA from 1 species